AUACGGAGGGUGCAAGCGUUAUUCGGAAUCACUGGGCGUAAAGGGUGCGUAGGCGGUUUGAUAAGUCUGAUGUGAAAUCCUAUGGCUCAACCAUAGAACUGCAUUGGAAACGGUCAGACUAGAAUACUGAAGGGGCAGAUGGAAUUAGUGGUGUAGGGGUAAAAUCCGUAGAUAUCACUAGGAAUACCGAAAGCGAAAGCGAUCUGCUGGGAAGUUAUUGACGCUGAGGCACGAAAGCGUGGGGAGCAAACGGGAUUAAAAACCCUAGUAGUCC
rnacentral:rRNA from 1 species